rnacentral:rRNA from 1 species
UAGUCAUAUGCUUGUCUCAAAGAUUAAGCCAUGCAUGUCUAAGUUCAAGCGAAAAUAAAGUGAAACCGCGAAUGGCUCAUUACAUCAGUUAUGGUUCCUUAGAUCGCACUUACUACUUGGAUAACUGUGGUAAUUCUAGAGCUAAUACAUGCAUUGAGUCCAAACCUCUGGAAUGGACGCUUUUAUUAGAUCAAAGCCAAUCGGGCUUCGGCUCGUUUUUUGGUGACUCUGAAUAACUUUGCUGAUCGCAUGGUCUCGUACCGGCGACGUAUCUUUCAAGUGUCUGCCUUAUCAACUUUCGAUGGUAGGUUAUGCGCCUACCAUGGUUGUAACGGGUAACGGGGAAUUAGGGUUCGAUUCCGGAGAGGGAGCCUGAGAAACGGCUACCACAUCCAAGGAAGGCAGCAGGCGCGCAAAUUACCCACUCCCAGCACGGGGAGGUAGUGACGAAAAAUAACGAUGCUAAACUCAUACGAGGCUUAGCAAUCGGAAUGAGUACACUUUAAAUCCUUUAACGAGGAUCUAUU